rnacentral:rRNA from 1 species
AGAGUGCAGAGACGUGAAACCGAUGUAAUGGAAGCGGAUGGAGCCAACGUAUCUAGUGCGUAUUCAUCUGUUUGGCUGUGUGGGCUUGGCGUUGGCAUUCCGCAAGGUUGUCGGCGUUGAGUUCUGUGCGGUUGAGCGGUGCACUUGCGUACGGAGUGCGCUGAGCUGGUUGACUUUGUGGUUGGAGGCGUUCCUAGUGGACCAUCUUCGGACGGAAACCUGGGUUCGUUGAAGACUGUCGAGGUUGGCUGUUGAGGCGGUAGGCUAACGCGUGCGGUUGGUCUGAGUAGUGGUGCGGAUUGGUAGCACAUGUGUUGCCGGUUUGUGCUGUUGCUUGGGCCGGUUGUGUGCUCUGCUGCUCGCUCGGUGUCUGGUUGGUCACCCAUCCGACCCGUCUUGAAACACGGACCAAGGAGUUUAAGGUGUACGCGAGUCAAUGGGCCUGGAAAACCCAAAGGCGAAAUGAAAGUGAAAUGCAUAGUGUUUGUGGUGCGAUCGGUUAGUGUUUCGAUGCUGGCCGAGCAGCACCGCUCCGUUCCUGGUACUUGUACUGGUGCGGAAGCUGAGCGUACGCUUUGAGACCCGAAAGAUGGUGAACUAUGCCUGAACAGGAUGAAGCCAGAGGAAACUCUGGUGGAAGUCCGAAGCGGUUCUGACGUGCAAAUCGAUCGUCUGAUCUAGGUAUAGGGGCGAAAGACUAAUCGAACUAUCUAGUACGG